rnacentral:lncRNA from 1 species
AAUCCUGAAGGUGGUAGGCAAGUGGAAGAAGUGAUGCUCAGCCCUGAUCUGUUUUCUUUCAGGCCCAUCCAUUGCCAUCAUAUUGCCAGAGAUUGUCCUUCUGUACGUGAUUGUGGUCACCUUCCUGGUGGCCGCCAACGUGACCUUCCAGCCUACAAAGCUCAUCCAGCUCAAAAGCACAACAGCACAGCGCACGAUGGGCUAUGCGGCUCCCGGCGGGGUGCUCUUGGUGGUGCUGACGAGCAGCUUCCACAUAAAGAACAUCCACCAUCGGCACGAGGACGGCUGCACGGCGUUUGUGGACGUGACUGCCCUUGCGGUGAGCACGGCAGCAGUAUCAGCCCUCCCCCUCCUCGCCAUCUUCCUCUGCUAUCACACCACACAGGGGUGGCAGAAUGAACGUGACUCUGGCUGUGCCGACAAGGAAAGGUAGAGCCUUCUUUCGCCUUUUUCCGUAUAAAUUCACACCAUCUUGGUGUGAAAAGAGUGAGAUAUGAAAAUUAUCCUAUGUCUUAAGUCAUAGACCCCAAGAAAGGUGCAGCCCAGCUCUGCCCUCACAGCCCCUGAUUUUACGCAGGAUUUGGAGUAGGAUGCUCCAAUGGGGUCCAUGCUUAAGCACCUGCUCAAAUCUCUCCACAAAUGUGUCACUCGUGGCCUCAACUUGAAGAUUAAACCUUAAUUCCUGCUGGUUUCCUCCACGCCCUUUGUAUUUUGCUGGUGCUGUGGAUGCACUGGGAUAAAGCCCCCAGUGCCCGUCCUGCUCAUCACAGCCUCAGUCAGCAUCUCUGUGCCCCAG